AAUGAACGUUGGCGGCAUGGAUUAGGCAUGCAAGUCGAGCGCGAAAGAUUUGGUGGUAACAUUAAAUCUUGAAAGCGGCGAAAGGGAGAGUAAUACGUAGGGUAUCUGCCCCCGGGACUGGGAUAGCGGCGGGAAACUGCCGGUAAUACCAGAUAAUGUCUCCGGACCAAAGGUGUGAUUCCACCUGGGGAUGAUCCUGCGUCCUAUUAGCUAGUUGGUGAGGUAAUGGCUCACCAAGGCGAAGAUGGGUAGCGGGCGUGAGAGCGUGGCCCGUCUCACUGGGACUGAGACACUGCCCAGACACCUACGGGAGGCAG
rnacentral:rRNA from 1 species